AUGAACGCUGGCGGCGUGCCUAAUACAUGCAAGUCGCGCGAACGGACGAGAAGCUUGCUUCUCUGAUGUUAGCGGCGGACGGGUGAGUAACACGUGGAUAACCUACCUAUAAGACUGGGAUAACUUCGGGAAACCGGAGCUAAUACCGGAUGAUAUUUUGAACCGCAUGGUUCAAAAGUGAAAGACGGUCUUGCUGUCACUUAUAGAUGGAUCCGCGCUGCAUUAGCUAGUUGGUAAGGUAACGGCUUACCAAGGCAACGAUGCAUAGCCGACCUGAGAGGGUGAUCGGCCACACUGGAACUGAGACACGGUCCAGACUCCUACGGGAGGCAGCAGUAGGGAAUCUUCCGCAAUGGGCGAAAGCCUGACGGAGCAACGCCACGUGAGUGAUGAAGGUCUUCGGAUCGUAAAACUCUGUUAUUAGGGAAGAACAUAUGUGUAAGUAACUGUGCACAUCUUGACGGUACCUAAUCAGAAAGCCACGGCUAACUACGUG
rnacentral:rRNA from 1 species